GGCAGCAGUGCUCUAGUUAUCCAACAGGGUUGGUUUAGGUUGCUGCUGCACUGGGAGCACUUAAGAAUGAAGUACAGAAGUGACCACAGCUGAAAGGCCAUUUAUUUGCAGCUGUUUCUUCUCAGUUGCAGGAUGCACUGUUCAUUUACAGCAGCUAGAGACCUCAAUUAAUUUAUGAAUGAGGACAGCAGGCUGUGAACUCUCCAGCUCAGCCUAGGUGGAGAUGUCCCUGUCUGAAUUUAUGUUCCGGAAAAACUUUUUUGAAAGCUCCUACAUGAAUUCACAGCAGAAAUCCAAUUGCGGGAGAAGAUAUUAUUAAGACUUCUGCUUCUGAGGCCCAUUACCUCAUAACUCCUGCUUCUGAGGCCGUAUUUGUUCCAAUAUGACCAUAUUGGAUAAGAUGAAGUUUUGGGAUUUUCUUUUGAAGGAAUGGUUUACAAGCACCACAAAGGGACAUGUGCCAACACAACUUGACUGUAUACAGGAGGAGGAAUAAACUAGAAGUAUGCCUGAUCAAGAAUUACUGUGAUUUUACUUGGCAUUUAUUUUCUCUGAGCUGUGAUCAAUAGAGUCAACCUAUGGGAGUUUUGCAUGAAAAGGAGCAUGUAAAUAUCUGAGAUGUUUCUGAAAAGAGUUCUUGGCAAAAGAAAUGUACUUUCAUUAGCUGAAAUGGUAAAGAGAUUGCAGGUUCUCCUUAAGCUAGUGACAGUGCUCACAGAUGCAAAAGUAUUCUCCCUGAAUGACUCAGAGCUGAGAUCCUGUUUCCACAUCUGAAUGCAGAAGUCCAGGCAAACUGCUGGCAUUGCAGUAUGACAAUAAUGUAGAUAAGCUAAAGUAAAUUUUGGCAAGGACUGCAAUGAGCUCAGCUAGCAUGCUGUACAGCCACGUGCACCAGAAUAAAGGAAGGGGUGUCAGAGGGAAAGUAGUGCUGAGGAAGGGGCCAGUUCUUGGUGGGAUGGGCUGUGUGAGCAAGAACAUUCUGAUAAACCAGUAAGAUUUGAAAACCCAUUCUGUAUGAUCUCAAGUUAGUUUAAAUAAUGCUUAUAUUAUCCUGAAAUGCUCAAACAUAUCUGGGAAAAACAAUAUCAACUAAUAAAAUAUUUUUUCUUUUGG